UUCUGGGUGUCAGAGCAGUAAACAAUAUUUAUCUUCAUUCAUAACAUGACAUAAUAACUGCAUAUGUUCACAUACUAACUCUACAGACAGUAGAACAACAGUUGGACUUACACUUUUUUGCUUGGGCUUUUUUCCCUCUGACUCACCUGCCAUGGCUGCUGUCAACUUCAGGUCCCUUUUCCAACUGAAUCCUUCAACAACAA